AUAAACGUUGGCGGCGUGCCUAACACAUGCAAGUCGAGCGAGAAAAUCCUUCGGGAUGAGUACAGCGGCAGACGGGUGAGUAACGCGUGAGAAUCUACCCUUCAGUGAAGAAUACCUUCGAGAAAUCGAAGUUAAUACUGCAUACGUCCCUUCGGGGAGAAAGAUGGCCUCUUUGCUGUCGCUGAUGGAUGAGCUUGCGUACUAUUAGCUAGUUGGCGGGGUAAAGGCCCACCAAGGCUUUGAUGGUUAGCCGGCCUGAGAGGGUGAACGGCCACACUGGAACUUAGACACGGUCCAGACUCCUACGGGAGGCAGCAGUGAGGAAUCUUGCGCAAUGGGCGAAAGCCUGACGCAGCGACGCCGCGUGGAGGAUGAAGGUCUUCGGAUUGUAAACUUCUGUUGAGUGGGACGAAAGACUCACUUCUAAUACAAGUGAGGGAUGACAGUACCACUAAAGAAAGCACCGGCUAAACUCGU
rnacentral:rRNA from 1 species